rnacentral:rRNA from 1 species
GACGAACGCUGGCGGCGUGCUUAACACAUGCAAGUCGAACGGAAAGGCCCUGCUUGCAGGGUACUCGAGUGGCGAACGGGUGAGUAACACGUGGGUGAUCUGCCCUGCACUUCGGGAUAAGCCUGGGAAACUGGGUCUAAUACCGGAUAGGAGCCAUUUUUAGUGUGAUGGUUGGAAAGUUUUUUCGGUGUAGGAUGAGCUCGCGGCCUAUCAGCUUGUUGGUGGGGUAAUGGCCUACCAAGGCGGCGACGGGUAGCCGGCCUGAGAGGGUGGACGGCCACAUUGGGACUGAGAUACGGCCCAGACGCCGACGGGAGGCAGCAGUGGGGAAGAUUGCACAAUGGGCGCAAGCCUGAUGCAGCGACGCCGCGUGGGGGAUGACGGCCUUCGGGUUGUAAACUCCUUUCGCUAGGGACGAAGCUUUUUGUGACGGUACCUAGAUAAGAAGCACCGGCUAACUACGUG